rnacentral:rRNA from 1 species
AUACGAAAGGUGCAAGCGUUGUUCGGAUUUACUGGGCGUAAAGAGAUCGUAGGUGGUUUGUUAAGUCGGAUGUGAAAUCCCGGGGCUCAACCCCGGAACUGCAUUCGAUACUGGCAGACUAGAGUUUGGGAGGGGUAAGCGGAAUUCCGUGUGUAGCAGUGAAAUGCGUAGAUAUACGGAGGAACACCUGAGGCGAAGGCGGCUUACUGGACCAAUACUGACACUGAGACUCGAAAGCGUGGGUAGCAAACAGGAUUAGAAACCCUAGUAGUCC